AAAGACUGUGAGUGAGUGCUGUGUCCUUGUCUUCGUGGAAACAUGGCUCAAUGACAGCGUCCCGGACUGUGCUAUCCAGCUAGAGCGGCUAACAUGCUACCGGGCUGACAGAGCGCUCGUCGAGGGGGGGAAGACUCGCGGCGGGGGGCUCUGUGUUUACAUCAGUGACGCCUGGUGCCGUGACGCCGUUGUCGUCUGUAAACACUGCUCACCACUGGUGGAGUUUAUGAUCAUCAAGUGCCGCCCAUUCUUCCUGCCAAGAGAAAUUACAGCUGUUUUACUGGCAGCAAUAUACAUCCCCCCUGGCUCCACCAACAACAGGAGUGGGGCACUGAAUGAACUCUAUCAGCACAUCAGUGAGCAGCAGACAGCCCAUCCUGACGCCUUCCUCAUCCUGGCUGGAGAUUUCAACCACGCUAACCCAAAGAGCGUGUUUCCACAACUCCAUGGACAUAUUAACUUUCCCACAAGAGGUGCUAAUAUCCUGGACAAUGUUUUCACUACACACAGUGGUGCCUACAAAGCCACCCCCCUCCCCCACCUCGGGGCUUCAGACCACACUACUGUUAUGCUCCUGCCAGCAUACAGGCCGCUGGUUAAAAUCAACAGACCAGCGAAGAAGACAAUCCGUGUGUGGCCAGAGGGGUCGUCAGCGGCACUCCAGGACUGCUUCUCCACCACUGACUGGAGUGUGUUCAGAGAGGCGGCCACCUUCAAUGACACCAUAGACCUCCAGGAGUACACAGAGACCGUCACUGCUUACAUGAGGAAAUGCAUGGACGACGUCACGGUCUCCAGAACCAUCUCCACUCACGCCAACCAGAAACCAUGGCUGACAGGGGAAGUCCACAGACUUCUGAGGGCUCGGAAUGCUGCCUUCAGAGCUGGGGAUGAAGCAGGCCUAAGGACAGCCAGGGCUAACCUGUCACGAGGUAUCAGAGUGGCCAAGAGACAGUACUCCAGGAGGAUCGCAGAUCGUUUCACUGACAGCAGAGACACCAGGAACCUGUGGCGAGGGAUCCAGACCAUCACGGAUUAUAAGCCCGCUCCACAGACCUGUGACAACUCCACCUCUCUGCUGAAUCAACUGAACGACUUCUUUGCUCGCUUUGAGGCCGACAACAACACCCCAGCACAGAAAGCCCCACCUCCUCCUGACGACCAGGUGCUGAAACUGUCCCCGGACAGCGUGAGGAGAUUCCUCAAAGGGACCAAUGUACUGAAAGCCCCAGGUCCUGACAAUAUUCCUGGUCGUAUCCUGAGAGACUGUGCUGAGGAGCUCACUGAUGUUUUCACUGACAUCUUUAACAUCUCGUUGAGCC
rnacentral:lncRNA from 1 species